AUUGAACGCUGGCGGCAGGCUUAACACAUGCAAGUCGAGCGGAGGGAAGGUAGCUUGCUACUGAAACUUAGCGGCGGACGGGUGAGUAAUGCUUAGGAAUCUGCAUAUUAGUGGGGGACAACAUCUCGAAAGGGAUGCUAAUACCGCAUACGUCCUACGGGAGAAAGCAGGGGACCUUCGGACCUUGCGCUAAUAGAUGAGCCUAAGUCGGAUUAGCUAGGUGGUGGGGUAAAGGCCUACCAAGGCGACGAUCUGUAGCGGGUCUGAGAGGAUGAUCCGCCACACUGGGACUGAGACACGGCCCAGACUCCUACGGGAGGCAGCAGUGGGGAAUAUUGGACAAUGGGCGGAAGCCUGAUCCAGCCAUGCCGCGUGUGUGAAGAAGGCCUUUUGGUUGUAAAGCACUUUAAGCGAGGAGGAGGAGCUCUUAGUUAAUACCUAAGAUGCUUGGACGUUACUCGCAGAAUAAGCACCGGCUAACUCUGUGCCAGCAGCCGCCGUAACAC
rnacentral:rRNA from 1 species